rnacentral:rRNA from 1 species
GUCUAUGGCCAUACCAUCCUGAACACGCCGUAUCUCGUUUGAUCUCAGAAGCUAAGCAGGGUCAAGCCUGGUUAGGACUUGGAUGGGAGAGCACCUGGGAAUACCAGGUGCUGUAGGCU